GAAUUAUAAUUAUAUGCAUGUGAGUGAGCUUAUGUAUAUUAUGCUAUUAUGGAUUGUGAUUUGAUGGAUGAUAUGUCAUGAAAAUCACAUGUAUGCCAUGCAAUGUAAUGUCAUGAAGUAUUUAGAUCAUAUAAGUCAUGUAAUGUUCAUAUCAUGUAUGCCAUGGAAUGUCAUUAUGUACAGA